UCACCGCCGUCUCUCCCUCAGAUCUCCGACCUCUCUCUCUCUCCAGCCGUGGCCGGGCAGCAGCGGCCGCGCCCUCCUUUUCCGGAUCCGGCGCCACCACUGCCCUGCCUCUCUUUCUCCUUUGGCCGACAGCAGCAGCCGUGGUGCUUCUGCCGCCGCGUCGCCACCGGAAAUAGAACAGGGACUGAGCGCCGCCUGCCGCCGCGCCGUUGCCGGCCGUGAGCAGCCGCCGGCUGUCUCACUCCCUCCCCUGACUCGGACACACAAGGACAGGAGACUCAUCCCCCCCAAAUUCCAGUCACACGCACAAAAGCAAAAGUAGGGUUUUAUUAAUCUGGUCUUUCAAUCAUUCAUUUCUUUUUAUUAAAACUGAUUGUACAUGUAAUAGAUUAGAGAAUAUAGUAAAAUGUGUGCGUGUGUAUUAUUCUGUUGGUGGCUCUCUGAUGGUGAUAAGCUGAUGUAAUUGAAACAUUUAUAGUCUAAAAGAAGUGGUAAUGGAUGCGUGUGUUAGCUGCUGUUUUCAUUUGAA